rnacentral:rRNA from 1 species
UACGGAGGGGGCAAGCGUUAUUCGGAAUCAUUGGGCGUAAAGGGCGCGUAGGCGGCUUCAUAAGUCUUGGGUGAAAGCCCUCGGCUCAACCGAGGAAUUGCCUUGGAUACUGUGAAGCUCGAGGCUGGAAGAGGGCAGUGGAAUUCCCGGUGUAGCGGUGAAAUGCGUAGAUAUGCGGAGGAACACCGAUGGCGAAGGCAAUCCCCUGGGCCUGCACUGACGCUCAUGCACGAAAGCGUGGGGAGCAAACAGG